UAGCAAUACUGGUAAAAGUGACAGAUCUCCGCAAAUAUGGAUAUGCAGCUGUACUUGCUCCAUUGCUGCGUGACGUUCAUACUUUGGAAGUGGACGUGUGUUCAUUGAAGGACUUGGCCAAAAUGUCAAAGGCACUGUCUUGUGUGUGUCUGCGGACAACUUGGCCGCUCAUGGACUAGGGGGUUUUGUAGAGUCUUUCAGAUCAGGCUGUGUUUGCAGAUUCUGCUUGGGCUCAGCUGAACAGUAUCAAGAAUCCGAAGUCAGAGAUGAGAAGUUUGCUCCGAGAACUAAAACCAGCCAUGACCUGCAUGUGCAAACAGUUAAGGCAAAUUUGAAUGACAUCAUCCCCCUCCCAGCAUACCGUGUGGAUGGCGCUCUUAUUCUCACCCCGAAGAGGUUUAUACUUGUAAAACAACAGAGUUAAGCACAAUGACUACUACAUCCCUGCCCAUGUUGCUCAGAGUAGAGCAACCAGACCAGCCACCAAGGAAGCUGAAACUGGGCGCUCGACCCGAUUCUGUUGACUCACUAAUCCGGAUACUAAAACAUGAACUGGACCUCGACCUCGAUGUUGACCUUCUCUAUGAAGACCCAGAUUUUGAUGGAAAGCUCACUGCCCUGACCGAUAUUAAUGAACUGCCGCAGAAAGCUGUUGUACACAUUACUUUUUCUCAAGACUCAAGCUCAGUUGCAUCAACAGUGUUGCUCUCUGAUGUCUCAUCUCCAGAGCGUCUGAGCAGGUGGCCGCCAGGGCCUUUUCCAAUCCCAACGUUCUCAUUCGACGUAGAGCUGAAGCUGAGGGACGGAAAUGCUGAAUAUGAAAACAAGAACACCUACCUCAACUUAACCCGUGACCUGAAGCACAGCAUCUUGGAGAGUAUGGCUUCCACCAUUUAUGGUUUUAAAGCUUAUCCGAGUGACAAGAAUUUCAAUGGCCGCCGAGGCUCUUGUGGCCAAACAUCCCUGCUUGACCCAACCAGGGGCUGAAAAGGGCUGGAAUGGGUGGAAGAACUCUUAAGUUUAAAAUGGGCAAUUACAGAAACAAGAUGAGACGGGCUGGAUGUCAAGAAGUUGCGGUCAAUUCUGGUAAAAGGAGUAGGAGCCACCCGGAAAAAGAGCCUUCACAUUCGAACAUCAAGCGACCAAAGCGUGCGGAAUUAAAUUUCUUGCCCAACUUUCCUAAAGGAAAGGAUCCGUCACAACUGGAGGAGAUGAGGCAGACAAUUGUUGACAAAUGCAAGAAAGUGGACAAGGACCUGACCCUCAUCCGAAAACUGAUGGAGGCCACAUUCCCUCUACGCAGACAGACGAUUGUUAUGUCCUUCCCUCCUGUGAAUGAGAUCAUGGACCUCUGGCCAGCUCUGAAAAUUGAGUCAGAGUUGUAUGCAGAAUUCCAGCGACUCACGAACCAGAACCUGCCCAAUACAUUUUAUGCUGAGCUGGACCGCCAUCUUCCACGAAUGAUGACUCUAUUCAGGCAGAAGGCUGCCAAAACAGGGAAGACUGCAGAUGCUCUGACCAGCAUUUUAAAACUUCACGAUGAGCAGGAAUCCCAUGACAUCCACAGCAGACGCACCACAGCUCUACAAGCCUUGCCUGUAUAUCUGCGUGAUGAUGCGACAGAAUUAUUCAGGACCUGCACAGAUGAUUCUGAUGAACCCGACCUCGACGGUGUUGCUCUGGGCCUUCUCACCUUCGCCAACAAUGACGCAGGCCUCUACAAUGCACUGAGGGUGUCCAUCGUGAUUGAAGGUGCUGUUGUGAUGAGUGUCUCCCGACAUACUGACGCGUUUCUUAUGUUUGGGCUUAUGUACGCUUUGCACCUCAGCUAUCCAAAGGCCUUGAUCAACACCUUUGAAUUUGUCCAAAAAAUUUUGCUUGGCCUCGAUGGUGGGAAACUUUCACCCAAAUUGCAGACCAUGAAAAUUGACUUGUCCAUGUGAGUGUGAAGGGUAGAAGGUAGCCAAGUUGUUUUGAGAAAGUGUUUUAAGGAGGUACUGUUUGAGUUGCUUAUUUUUUGCUUCAGUUGCACCAUUUUUGUGGUUCAGUGUUCAGGGGUACCAAAGUAUUGGUAUACACCAUUCUAGUGCUGAUAAAUACUCAUCUUAAGUGAUAUUUGGAAUAGUGUGGCAUUGAGUGAGUGAGUGCGCGCGUGUGUGUCACUCACGGUGUGUGGAACAAAAUUUUUGUGGGGUCCAAAAUCCUGGACCCCACAAGGAAAAUCGUUGAAAUGGAUAGAGGAGGCGUUGCUGAUAUGUCUAGUACAAAAAUUUGAAGGAAAAAAAAAAAUCCCCCAUACAUCACAAAAACCUAACAAUAUGUGCUUAAGUGUGCUUAAGAUUGGCCCUCUACAGACCAAAAAGGGUACUACAGCUUCACUUUUUUGCUCCGAAUAAGCACACUUCACACACUCCACCCACCAAUCAAACACGGACUUGUGUGUCACGUGAGAUGAUAUACAUUGAAGAACAAAAGGCAAACUUCUACGAAGUCAAGGCAAAGCUCUAUUGGGAAAACGUUUGAUGGAAGACAAUGCCAAAUUCCACCAGCUGAAAUGAAAUAAGGACAAAGGUAAAAUGGCGAGAAGGAGGGUAAGCCCUCAGACUGUUGCAGAACUACAUGCAGUCAGUAGGACAGACCAGACUGCCAUGUUGGAUGUUAAAUACAUAAACCCCACCAAAGGCAAGGGUAUAUUUGCCUUGUCACCUUUUCAGAAGGGAGAUUUUGUUGUUGAAUACAGAGGACAAUUUAUCGACUUAAAGGAAUCAGAGAGGAGGAGGAGGAUAUACUGUACAAUGCACAAUGCUUAGUCUUCAUGU